rnacentral:rRNA from 1 species
UACGGGGGGGCAAGCGUUGUUCGGAAUUACUGGGCGUAAAGGGCUCGUAGGUGGCCAACUAAGUCAGACGUGAAAUCCCUCGGCUUAACCGGGGAACUGCGUCUGAUACUGGAUGGCUUGAGUUUGGGAGAGGGAUGCGGAAUUCCAGGUGUAGCGGUGAAAUGCGUAGAUAUCUGGAGGAACACCGGUGGCGAAGGCGGGUCUCUGGACAGUUCCUGACGCUGAGGCACGAAGGCCAGGGGAGCAAACGGG